AGGGUUUGAUCAUGGCUCAGGACGAACGCUGGCGGCGUGCCUAACACAUGCAAGUCGAACGAGGCCACUCCUUCGGGAGUGAGUCGAGUGGCGGACGGGUGAGUAACACGUGAGCAAUCUACCCUUGUGCGGGGGAUAACCCGGGGAAACCCGGGCUAAUACCGCAUGUUUCGGGAGAACGACAUCGUUUUCCCGGGAAACGUGGCCUCUUUACAAUGCUACGGCGCAGGGAGGAGCUCGCGGGCUAUCAGCUAGUUGGUGAGGUAACGGCUCACCAAGGCAUCGACGGCUACGGGGUCUGAGAGGACGACCCCGCACAUUGGAACUGAGACACGGUCCAGACUCCUACGGGAGGCAGCAGUGGGGAAUAUUGGGCAAUGGCCGAAAGGCUGACCCUGCGACGCCGCGUGUGGGAGGAAGCCCUUCGGGGUGUAAACCACUGUCAGAGGGGACGAAAGAAUCGCGGGUAAACAAUCCGCGGAAGUGACGGUACCCUCAAAGGAAGCACCGGCUAACUCUGUGCCAGCAGCCGCGGUAAUACAGAGGGUGCAAGCGUUGUUCGGAAUUACUGGGCGUAAAGCGCGCGCAGGCGGAUCCUGCAAGUCCGAAGUGAAAUCUCCUUGCUCAACGAGGGGGCUGCUUUGGAUACUGCGGAUCUGGAGACCGGUAGAGGCUGGUAGAAUUGCAGGUGUAGCGGUGGAAUGCGUAGAGAUCUGCAAGAAUACCCGUGGCGAAGGCGGCCAGCUGGGCCGGUUCUGACGCUGAGGCGCGAAAGCGUGGGGAGCAAACAGGAUUAGAUACCCUGGUAGUCCACGCCGUAAACGAUGGGCACUAGUGCUGGGGGGAGCGACCCCGUCAGUGCCGUAGCUAACGCGAUAAGUGCCCCGCCUGGGGGAGUACGGCCGCAAGG
rnacentral:rRNA from 1 species